UACGGAGGGGGCUAGCGUUGUUCGGAAUUACUGGGCGUAAAGCGCACGUAGGCGGCUUUGCAAGUUAGAGGUGAAAGCCCAGGGCUCAACCCUGGAAUUGCCUUUAAAACUGCAUCGCUAGAAUUGUGGAGAGGUAAGUGGAAUUCCGAGUGUAGAGGUGAAAUUCGUAGAUAUUCGGAAGAACACCAGUGGCGAAGGCGGCUCACUGGUCCGGUACUGACGCUGAGGUGCGAAAGCGUGGGGAGCAAACAGG
rnacentral:rRNA from 1 species